GACAGAGCAGACUCAGGGAGAUGGCACUCAGUUCUGUCCUUCAUCCCCACAGGACAGGCCCCCACGUGCUCUCAACACAGAGACAGUACCACAGGGGAGCACAAAUCAACAUGAUAAUCACUCAGGCGACAGGAUUGUGCCUGCUUUACCUACCACACCCGGACCCGCUUCACUGCACACGAAGAUUGUUUUUUUACUGUUUACAUUUUUCCUUAAGUUAAUUUUUAAAAAAGCAUAGUAAAGACUCUGAGGACAAAUUAUUCAACUGUUUAUCAUACAUAAGACCGCAUGACUAUAAUACAAAGGGGGGUCUUUUUUCAUUUAACGUUACAAUAUACACAGCAAGUCUGGACUAGAUCUUACAAUCUGAACACAGGUAUUUAACCUCUCCAUGCUGUUUAUGUUUACAAUGCACAGAAGUCCUGUAACCAAACUGUGUAGUAAAGCACACAAAACUGGACUGUAACGUGACACGGUAUGCAGAAGCACUGGAUUGUGUGGCUCUCUUUACGUAAAUAUAGCUUUAAAAACUGCUUUCUUUUUUGGUGCUUGCUAAAAUGUGGCAACCAGCACAGAAAGAAAAAAAGAAUGACCUGAGCCACGUGGGGUGGGUGUGUGGCACCUGGGGCUCCGCAGCCACAGGCGCUGCGCCCUCCUGACAGUGCUGUGCUCAAGGUGAGGCCUCUGUACGGAAAUGCUCAUCAACUACCAAGCUCAAAACAAUCCACAGGCUUGACAUUUAAUUACAAAAUCAAUAUGGGUUUCCUGAUUAACACCUGAAGUGUCUGUGUUUAUAGAAACGGGGCUCUCUGAGUCUCCACUUGCACUCACAGAGCUUAGGCCUUUCUUUUGUUUACAUAUAAAAAACAAAAAAAAACCUGCUUUUGCUCAGAAACAAAAAAAAAAAAAAAAAACACCAAACAAACCUUGACCUAGUCAGCCACGUGGAAUUAAGCAAUAAAAAGUACCGUGGUGUUCUGCUGCGUUGCUUCCAACAGGGUUAUUGGCAGAGGUAGAUCACUGCUUCUUUCUAGGCUUCUUUUGAUCCUGGACAGGGAAAUUACUCUAUCUUCAUUCUCCCAAUUCAACUGCUUCAGAGUAUAACACCCUAAAAUUGCUCAAUUUCAAUGGGAACACAGAUUUAGCCACUGCCAGACUGUGCUACUUGAAGGCAGCAGCAUCUCCAGACAAGGCAACUGCUAGUGCCAGCCUGCUUCCUUCAGGUCAUGCUCAGAGCUCUGCCUGCUUCCUGUUCCUACUGUGGACCUGUCGGUUCAAUCAAGGUCUCAAGUUCAAGUUUACAAGGAAGUUAAUCAGGAAUACAAGAUCAACUGCUGGCUCCAUAGCUUCUGGAUCCAGUGUCCCUUUCCCUUCAGAAGCCUGAACACAUUUAGAAUGUGACAGGUGUUGUAAUCUUGAAUUAGAUGUCAAUCUAUUCUGUCCAGUACAAGAUUGCUGUAAAUGUAUUGGCUAUGGAUUCAACAACAGUUCCAGUUUUGUUUAAGCAAUAGUACAGCCAUCAUUUCAACUGACGUUUAAAACGGUCUCGUUACACCUGUGUCAAAGUGCAGGCCUGCGACAUUAUUGGUUACAGACAUCUAUGUGCUAUAAAAACAGCUUU
rnacentral:lncRNA from 1 species